CUUAGUCUGUCACCCAGGCUAGAGUGCAGUGGUGCGAUCUUGGGUCACCGCAACCUCCACCUCUCCAGUUCAAGCUAUUCUUGUGCCUCAGCCUCCCAAGUAGCUGGGAUUACAGAUCUUCUGGUGACCCCACUUCUCGCUGCUCAUGCCGCUGGGACUGGGGCGGCGGAAAAAGGCGCCCCCUCUAGUGGAAAAUGAGGAGGCUGAGCCAGGCCGUGGAGGGCUGGGCGUGGGGGAGCCAGGGCCUCUGGGCGGAGGUGGGUCG
rnacentral:lncRNA from 10 species